GUCUCAGGCCGUAUCAGCUUGAAGGCGCCCGAUCUCGUUUGAUCUCGGAAGCUAAGCAGGGUCGGGCCUGGUUAGUAUCUUGGAUGGGAGACCACCUGGGAAUCCCGGGUGCUCGAGGCU
ensembl:rRNA 5S_rRNA 5S ribosomal RNA